AUUAACUUUUGACUUUGACUCAAGUGCAAUUGUUGUCUUACUAAUAAUUAAAGGGUUAAACGUCGCUAGACUUUCUAGUUACACACUACCAACGAGUUGUUGCGCAGAACGUGGACGCUAAGAUCAGAUUAAAGUUAGUUUUAAUGGAAUUCAGAUAAAGUGCCGGCCGGGAAACACAAACAAGCUAAUAUUUCACAUGUUUUAUCUAAACUGAAGUUGCCGGAGAGUCGGCUAUUCGCGUCUCCUGCGGAAUUAAUGUAGGUGGGCACUCGGCAAGUUGGCGGAACAACAAUGUCGUGUUUAAAGUAAACUAAUAAAGCAACUUUUAAGUGAGUAUUAUGGGCAAGUUUUGAUAAGCACGGCACGUGUGUGCGCAGGUGGCGGCCGCACGCAUGCGCGCGCGUGACGUCACGGCAAACGCGCGGCUCGCCGCGGCAGUCGUGCCUCCGCCGGCCGCGCGCUCGCCCGCCCUACGCCGCGCGACGCCCGACGCGUAAACAAUAAUAAAAACACGCCACAAUGUACCGUCGCCACUUAUGAUAAACCGGCCGCGUGGUAACGACAUUUUGGUGUAUUUAGUUCGCAUUUUGAUGUAUUAAUUUUAAUCGUGGGUAGUGUUUGUGUCACACCGGUUAAUAAACGUGUCUUUUUAGUGCCAUUUUUUCUAUAACAUAGUUUUAGAUACGAUAUCUUGCCAGUACAAAGUUUAAUAUUCCAUUGCCUUCUCGCCUCUAAAUAGUUGAUAGGGAAGCUUCGUGUACACUGUUAGGCGCGCUAGUUAGAUUUUUAGGACAUAAGUAAAUUAGUAUUUGAAACGUUUUUAUAUAAAAAUAAAUAAAAAAAAUAUCAAAGAUGUCUCUAAUAUGCGGAGAACCGGGCGGCGCCCUAAUGUCUGAGCCACUCUUGAGUUUAUAUAAGUCACCCUUAUCAGGGUGCGCGUUCCUGACAUAUUUUAAUCCAGAAAGUGCAUCAAGCGCACAAUCCGUCCUCCAUGAAAAACGGACGCUGCCCGG
rnacentral:lncRNA from 1 species